CCAAACAGGUGGACAUUUUAUUUUUUUGUUUUUUUGUUUUUUGUUGUUAUACUGGAACAAAAUCACCAGCAAAAGUAAAUACCUGUUUGAAAUCAGUCCAACAGGGGACGGUAUUUAGCAGACACUUUGAGGGUGUACCUACAGCCAUGCCUACUACUUAGAUUGUGUUGAGCGCCUCCUGCUCUGCGCUACGCUACCGCCAGACGGACACACAUUCUUCCAUUCAGUCAGUCAGUUGGCUUGUCUGACGCUAAAGUGCAAGUCGACUGUAGUCUCCCUUCUCUCGGGAUUUGUUUUGAGAGAAAGAGCGUUGUUUCUGUACAGCAAAAGAAAACAUGUGUGUAUAUUGGUUAUUUUGAAUGCGCUUGGAGAAAGUUAAAUUAGACUAUUUUCUUGCAAAAACGCGGACACAAUGUGACAAUGUUGACCAGCAGACUGGGUUAUCCAUGACGGAUUGGUAAAGAGCUGUUCAUUAAUCAAGGAAAAAGGGACGUAGCAAUGGGGAAACUUCAGUCCAAACAUGCGGGCAAACGUAGAGAGAACCCCGAAGGAGACAGUUUUGUUGUGAACGCUUUCCUCCGAAGAGCGAUGGGGGAAUGUGAGAUGUACAGCUCCUCAGAUCACAAACUGAACAACAUUCAGGAGUUUCCACAUAGUGAGCUGAAGGGGAGACAGCUCUUAGACCCAUC